rnacentral:rRNA from 1 species
CACGUAGGGGGCAAGCGUUGUCCGGAUUUAUUGGGCGUAAAGAGCUCGUAGGCGGCUCGGUAAGUCGGGUGUGAAAUUUCGAGGCUCAACCUCGAAACGCCACCCGAUACUGCUGUGGCUAGAGUCCGGUAGGGGAGCGUGGAAUUCCUGGUGUAGCGGUGAAAUGCGCAGAUAUCAGGAGGAACACCAGCGGCGGAAGGCGGCCGAGCCUGGGUAGAUACUGACGCUGAGGCGACGAAAG